GACGAACGCUGGCGGCGUGCUUAACACAUGCAAGUCGAACGGUAAGGCCCUUCGGGGUACACGAGUGGCGAACGGGUGAGUAACACGUGGGUGAUCUGCCCUGCACUUCGGGAUAAGCCUGGGAAACUGGGUCUAAUACCGGAUAGGACCACUGCCUGCAUGGGUGGUGGUGGAAAGCUUUUGCGGUGUGGGAUGGGCCCGCGGCCUAUCAGCUUGUUGGUGGGGUGAUGGCCUACCAAGGCGACGACGGGUAGCCGGCCUGAGAGGGUGACCGGCGGCCAUGGGACGGAGAUGCGGCGCAGAGUACUCCGGGGGGCAGCAGUGGAGGAUAUUGCUCCAGAGGCGGAGGCAGCAUGCAGCGGCGCCGCGUGAGGGAGGACGGCGUUCUGGGUGUAAUACUCGUUCAGCACCAACGAAGCGCAAGUGACGAUAGGUGCAGAAGAAGGACCGGCCAACUACGUGCCAGCCGCCGCCGUAA
rnacentral:rRNA from 1 species